UACAUAAAUGUUUAAAUUUCAAUAUUUUCUUAAUAAUUACAUACAUGGAAUUUUUAAGGUUAAAAAGUUAAUAUAUUUUACCUUUUGUAUAAUGGUUAUACUAAAAAUUUAUUUUAUUAUAGUUCCCGAAGCAAGAAGAGCUAUUUACUAACUUUUGUUAGAGAGUGUAAAGUUAUGUUGAAAUAUGGCUUGGAGAUUAGUAAAUAGGGGUGAAAAACUUUCAAUUUUUGGGAUACCUGGUAGCUUCAGAAAAGCAUGUAGUGCUGGAAAAUUAAAUGUAAAGUGAUGAGGUUUUACAUAAUUAGAAUUUUAGUUAAAUAUUUAGGUUUUUAUAGUUAAUCCUAUUGAAAUUUUAAAUUUAAAAUAUUAUUUUCUUAUUUUAUCUAAAUAAAUAUGGAGCUUUUUUAUAUAAUUAUUUUUAAAAGUAAUAAUGUGUAAAUGAGUAGUAAAUUAAUAUAGGCAUUUUGUAAUGUAAGUAGAGUGAAAACAGUUAUAAUAUUUUUAACCAUAGUUAGAAGGAAUUCGGCAAAAAUAACCUUCGACUGUUUAUCAAAAACAUAGCCUUAAGAUAAUUAUUUAAGGUUAAACCUGCCCAGUGUGAGUUGGUAUAUAAACGGCCGCGGUACCUUGACCGUGCUAAGGUAGCGCAAUCAAUUGGUUUUUAAAUGGAGCCAGGUAUGAAUGGAGUUACGGGGUUUUUCUGUCUCCUAGCUAUUAUAUUGAAAUUACUAUAUAGGUGAAAAAGCCUAUAACGAGAAAAAGGACGAGAAGACCCUUAGAGUUUUUCUAAAUUUAAUGAACAUUAGGUUCUUGAAGCAGUUUGGUUGGGGCAACACGGGAGCAUAAUUAAUCUCCUUAUUAAUAUAAAUCGAUUAUUUUAGAAUUGAGUAAACUACCUUAGGGAUAACAGCAUAAUUUUAUAAAUAAGUUUGUGACCUCGAUGUUGGACUGGGAAACUAGAAGGUUAGCCGCCUUUUAGGUAAGUUCUGUUCGAACUAUAAUUCCCACAUGAUCUGAGUUCAGACCGGCGUAAGCCAGGUCAGAUUCUAUCUUUUUAUUUUAAGGGUUUAGUACGAAAGGACCAGCUCUUAGUAUUUUAUAUAUAAAAG
rnacentral:rRNA from 1 species